AAUCUUCCACAAUGGGCGAAAGCCUGAUGGAGCAACGCCGCGCGAGUGAAGAAGGAUCUCGGUUCGUACAACUCUGUUGUAAGGGAAGAACAAGUACAGUAGUAACUGGCUGUACCUGGACGGUACCUUAUUAUAAAGCACCGGCUAACUAUGCGCCAGCAGCCGCGGUAAUACGUAGGUGGCAAGCGUUGUCCGGAAUUAUUGGGCGUAAAGCGCGGGCAGGCGGUCCUUUAAGUCUGAUGUGAAAGCCCACGGCUCAACCGUGGAGGGUCAUUGGAAACUGGGGGACUUGAGUGCAGAAGAGGAAAGUGGAAUUCCAAGUGUAGCGGUGAAAUGCGUAGAGAUUUGGAGGAACACCAGUGGCGAAGGCGACUUUCUGGUCUGUAACUGACGCUGAGGCGCGAAAGCGUGGGGAGCAAACAGG
rnacentral:rRNA from 1 species